GACAUUCUAGCAGCUUGGCCCCGUUGGC
rnacentral:sRNA from 1 species